ACUAGAACUUAGUAAAAUACAUUGCCAAACGACUAAGAGGAAUAAACCAAAGUUAUACUUUUCCAAACAAGAAGAUAUUUUUCAAUUUUCUCUUUCUUCAAUCCCUCUUUUCUCGCACCCCUAACGCUGCCGGAGACUUGCAACCUCACUGGUCUUAACCGUCGCUGCUUCGUCGGAUUCCGUAUGGGAGAAGAAGCUACCUGCGAAUUAUCAGGAUCCGCUUGAUUUGUUGUCGUCUUAAUCUCUCAUGGUUUUGGACUUUUUCAUAUAUUCACUUUGAAUUUAAUUGGAUUUGGGGGUUAGGGUAAGAAGAAGAGGAAUCUCCGGUUUGUUUGGUGGUGUAGGAUUUAAGCUUCUCUUCUUCUGAGUUUUCACUGAUAAACAGUCUCAAGUUCAGGGAAGAAGAUGAAGAUGAAAACUCCGACCAAAGUCAAUACCUUUGGGUUUAAUAGCAUCAGAACAGAGACUUCAGAAGUGGAGUUGUUGAAAGAGAGGAUGGCGAAACUACUGCGUUGUGAAGAUAUAUCAGGUUCUGGUGAAGGAGUUUCUCCAGCUCAUUCCGUGAAGAUGGAGAUAAAUGGUGGCUUCCUCUGCCACGUGUGCCAUCUGAUGGACUCUCUGAGCAGUCUAGGAAGAAGCUAGACCACACUCGUGAUUUCACUAACCAAAUCUUGAAAGCGUGUGUGUCAAUCAACAGAAUUGCUUUAGCUGAAAUGGAAGUUCCACAAGCAUACCUUGAAGCUCUUCCAAAAAGUAUAAUAAAAUUGUUUUGUCUAAUAGAACAGGAGACCAUGUCUUGGAGUUUUCCUUUAUAUAAACAUCAUGUCUGAUAA